rnacentral:rRNA from 1 species
UACGGGGGAGCAAGCGUUGUUCGGAUUUACUGGCGUAAAGGGCGCGUAGGCGGCCUCUGCAAGUCGACUGUGAAAUUUCCGGGCUUAACCCGGAAAGGUCAGCCGAUACUGCAGGGCUAGAGUGCAGAAGGGGCAACUGGAAUUCUCGGUGUAGCGGUGAAAUGCGUAGAUAUCGAGAGGAACACCUGCGGCGAAGGCGGGGUGCUGGGGCUGACACUGACGCUGAAGUGCGAAAGCUAGGGGGAGCGAACGGG